UACGUAGGGGGCAAGCGUUGUCCGGAAUCAUUGGGCGUAAAGCGCGCGUAGGCGGCCCGGUAAGUCCGCUGUAAAAGUCCAGGGCUCAACCCUGGAAAGCCGGUGGAUACUGCCGGGCUAGAGUCCGGGAGAGGCGAGUGGAAUUCCUGGUGUAGCGGUGGAAUGCGCAGAUAUCAGGAGGAACACCUAAGGCGAAGGCAGCUCGCUGGAACGGUACUGACGCUGAGGCGCGAAAGCGUGGGGAGCAAACAGG
rnacentral:rRNA from 1 species